ACGAACGCUGGCGGCGUGCUUAACACAUGCAAGUCGAACGGGCCCGCUCUCUUUUUUGGGGGUGGGUUGAGUGGCGAACGGGUGAGUAUCACGUGAGUAACCUGCCCCCUGCUCCUGGAUAACUGCUUGAAAGGGCGGCUAAUACGGGGUGUGCCGGCUGGUCCGCAUGGGCCUGGUCGGGAUAGUUUCAUCUUCGGGUGUUUCGGUGGGGGAUGGGCUCGCGGCCUAUCAGCUUGUUGGUGGGGUGAUGGCCCACCAAGGCGGUGACGGGUAGCCGGCCUGAGGGGGUGGGCGGCCACACUGGGACUGAGACACGGCCCAGACUCCUGCGGGAGGCAGCGGUGGGGGGUAUUGCACAAUGGGCGGAAGCCUGAUGCAGCGACGUCGCGUGAGGGAUGGAGGCCUUCGGGUUGUGAACCUCUUUCUCCGGUGGUGAAGGCCCUGUCCGUUGCGGCGGGGUUGACGGUAGCCGGGUAUGAAGCGCCGGCUAACUACGUG
rnacentral:rRNA from 1 species